GCUGUGGCGAACGGAACUACACAACACUGCAACAAAGGACGACGGAAAUCCACAGCAUAAACAACAAAACCUGCAAUAAACUACAAAACGGAUCCCGGUUCCGGACCCAGGCGUACCCGCCCUGCCUGAGAUGACCACCUCAACGUCAUCUCCCUCAUGUUGGCCACCGAAUGGACCUACUUCAUCCUGUGUUGGCCAUCGUGCCAUCCCUCCCCCUACAGCAAUAAUUAGACGGACAUUUUUAUCAUCAGGUAUGUGUGUAUCAAACAAUUAAACAAUUCGGCAACAAUGCAACAAGGAAGAAACAAACAAAACAGGCUAGGAACACAUCGAUAUCGCAAACGCAACAAACUUGCCAUAGGUAAGCUGGCAAGACAACGAUGCGGAGACCCGCGGGAAUUGUAUGUAUAUAUAUAUAUUUGUAUUCAUGCUGGUGAGUUGGUAUUGUGAUUAGUGUGUGAUUAUCUGUAAAUGUAAAUAUGUAUCGCUUAAUGACUACCUUGCCUACCUAAAGAGCUCUCUGGAUAGGUAAAGUGGCGAUAUUUGUUUAUGGGCAUGUAUUAUAUAUGUAAAUAUACAAUAUUAAUUGUAUUUUGUUGGGUGUUUCUAGAUCGUUAUAGUUUCGUGUUGUUCCUACACUGUUGUGCCUUAUU